rnacentral:rRNA from 1 species
UACAUGGGGUGCAAACGUUGCUCGGAAUCAUUGGGCGUAAAGCGCGCGUAGGCGGUUAUUUAAGUUGGAUGGGAAAGCCCUCGGCUUAACUGAGGAAGUGCAUCCAAAACUGAAUAGCUAGAGUACGAAAGAGGGUCGCGGAAUUCCCGGUGUAGAGGUGAAAUUCGUAGAUAUCGGGAGGAACACCGGUGGCGAAGGCGGCGGCCUGGGUCGAGACUGACGCUGAGGCGCGAAAGCGUGGGGAGCAAACAGG